CGGUGCCCUAGCACCCUGGUUACUGCCGUCCCUCAGUCCGAGCAGAGCCGACCCUUUCCUUCUGCCAUAGCCGAGCCUCACCCCUUGCAUGAGUUGCUGCCUCGGGUUCUACCGAGCCUUUGGUUUAUGGUCAGUGGUUAAAUCUAGUACCAGCCACAGUUUUGGCAACGGGUGCAUCCUCGACAAAUUAACGACAAAGUAUACGGAUUUGGGACUUUGAUUCGAGACGAGUAUUUCGAUUUGUCGGACUGGACCAUUUCG